CUUCAAGGCAAGAAAUUCGACUUAAAAGAUUGGGGACGCUCUCUCCCUCUCCCUCUCCCUCUCCCUCUCCCUCCUCUCCCUCCUCUCCCUCCUCUCCCUCCUCUCCCUCCUCUCCCUCUCCCUCUCCCUCUCCCUCUCCCUCUCCCCACGGUCUCCCUCUCCCUCUCUUUCCACGGUCUCCCUCUCAUGCUGAGCCGAAGCUGGACUGUACUGCUGCCAUCUCGGCUCACUGCAACCUCCCUGCCUGACUCUCCUGACUCAGCCUGCCGAGUGCCUGUGAUUGCAGACUCGCGCCGCCACGCCUGACUGGUUUUGGUGGAGACGGGGUUUCGCUGUGUUGGCCAGGCCGGUCUCCAGCCCCUAACCGCACGUGAUCCACCAGCCUCGGCCUCCUGAGGUGCCGGGAUUGCAGAUGGAGUCUCGUUCACUCAGUGCUCAAUGGUGCCCAGGCUGGAGUGCAGUAGCGUGAUCUCGGCUCGCUACAACCUCCACCUCCCAGCCGCCUGCCUUGGCCUCCCAAAGUGCCGAGAUUGCAGCCUCUGCCCGGCCGCCACCCCGUCUGGGAAGUGAGGAGCAUCUCUGCCUGGCCGCCCAUCAUCUGGGAUGUGAGGAGCCCCUCUGCCUGGCUGCCCAGUCUGGAAAGUGAGGAGCGUCUCCGCCCGGCCGCCAUCCGACCUAGGAAGUGAGGAGCACCUCUGCCCGGCCGCCAUCACAUCUAGGAAGUGAGGAGCGUCUCUGCCCGGCCGCCCAUUGUCUGAGAUGUGGGGAGCGCCUCUGCCCCGCCGCCCCGUCUGGGAUGUGAGGAGCACCUCUGCCCGGCCGCAACCCCGUCUGGGAGGUGAGGAGCAUCUCUGCCCGGCCGCCCCGUCUGAGAAGUGAGGAGCCCCUCCGCCUGGCAGCCGCCCCGUCUGGGAAGUGAGGAGCCCCUCCGCCCGGCAGCCGCCCCGUCUGGGAAGUGAGGAGCGUCUCCGCCCGGCAGCCACCCCAUCCGGGAGGGAGGUGGGGGGGUCAGCCCCCUGCCCGGCCAGCCGCCCAUCCGGGAGGGAGGUAGGGGGGUCAGCCCCCCGCCAGGCCAGCCGCCCCGUCCGGGAGGGAGGUGGGGGGGUCAGCCCCCCGCCCGGCCAGCUGCCCCGUCCAGUAGGUGAGGGGCGCCUCUGCCCGGCCGCCCCUACUGGGAAGUGAGGAGCCCCUCUGCCCGGCCAGCCGCCCAGUCCGGGAGGGAGGUGGGGGGGUCAGCCCCCCGCCCGGCCAGCCGCCCCGUCCGGGAGGUGAGGGGCGCCUCUGCCCGGCCACCCCUACUGGGAAGUGAGGAGCCCCUCUGCCCGGCCAGCCGCCCCAUCCGGGAGGGAG
rnacentral:lncRNA from 1 species